GUAUAGGUGGCUCAGGGGUUUAAGAGCACUGACUGCUCUUCCAGAGGUCCUGAGUUCAAUUCCCAGCAACCACA
rnacentral:tRNA from 1 species